UACGAAGGGGGCUAGCGUUGCUCGGAAUUACUGGGCGUAAAGCGCACGUAGGCGGCUCCUUAAGUCGGAGGUGAAAUCCUGGAGCUCAACUCCAGAACUGCCUUCGAUACUGGGAAGCUUGAGUUCGGGAGAGGUGAGUGGAACUGCGAGUGUAGAGGUGAAAUUCGUAGAUAUUCGCAAGAACACCAGUGGCGAAGGCGGCUCACUGGCCCGAUACUGACGCUGAGGUGCGAAAGCGUGGGGAGCAAACAGG
rnacentral:rRNA from 1 species